GGGCUCUCUUCAGCAGCACAUAUCCCCAAACUGGAACGAUACAGAGAUUAGCAUGGCCCCUGUGAAAGGAUGACAUGCAAAUUCAUGAAGCAUUCCAUAUAAUG
ensembl:snRNA U6 U6 spliceosomal RNA